AAGACCGUACUUAUACAGGAUCAUUUCUAUAGUACCUUCUUUUCUACUUGACUUUCCUCGUAGACAAUCUCAUUAACUUUGAUGAUCGUAUUGGACUUCAUUCAUUGUUUCGGGAUGUCGGUGGUUGUAGUGCUGGGUCCUUUCUAGGACCUGGUCUCCCCCAUUGAUGAACGUCCACUGUCGCGAUUGCGAGCGCUGCCCCGAUCUGC
rnacentral:snoRNA from 1 species